rnacentral:rRNA from 1 species
GACAGAGGGUGCAAACGUUGUUCGGAAUUACUGGGCGUAAAGCGCGUGUAGGCGGCUUGGCAAGUCGGGUGUGAAAGCCCUGGGCUCAACCUAGGAAGUGCACUCGAAACUGCUUCGCUUGAAUGUCGGAGAGGAAAGCGGAAUUCUCGGUGUAGAGGUGAAAUUCGUAGAUAUCGAGAGGAACACCGGUGGCGAAGACGGCUUUCUGGACGAUGAUUGACGCUGAGACGCGAAAGCGUGGGGAGCAAACAGG